CCUACGGGAGACAGCAGUGAGGAAUAUUGGUCAAUGGACGAGAGUCUGAACCAGCCAAGUAGCGUGAAGGAUGACUGCCCUAUGGGUUGUAAACUUCUUUUAUAUGGGAAUAAAAUGUUCCACGUGUGGGAUUUUGUAUGUACCAUAUGAAUAAGGAUCGGCUAACUCCGUGCCAGCAGCCGCGGUAAUACUGAGGAUCCGAGAGUUAUCCGGAUUUAUUGGGUUUAAAGGGAGCGUAGGUGGAUUGUUAAGUUAGUUGUGAAAGUUUGCGGACCAACCGUAAAAUUGCAGUUGAAACUGGCAGUCUUGAGUACAGUAGAGGUGGGCGGAAUCCGUGGCGUAGCGGUGAAAUGCUUAGAUAUCACGAAGAACUCCGAUUGCGAAGGCAGUUCACUGGACUGCAACUGACACUGAGGCUCGAAAGUGUGGGUAUCAAACAGGAUUAGAUACCCCAGUAGUC
rnacentral:rRNA from 1 species